GGAACUGUGAUCCUGUGCUUAGAGAUAUCCGGACCAAAAAUAGAAGUAAGCAAAAAAGCCUCCCUCCAGUGUUUCCAGGCCCCUGGAGCACAGUGCUGCAGCAGACCCCUCAGAGACUCCAGCAGUGGGGUGGAGAGACGCUGACCAAUAGGGGUGAAUCAGUCCCAAAUGAAACUGAAACAAGAUCACUCCUCCAGAAGUUGUUCCAUGUGGUUUGGUCUCAUCUACCGCUGAGGUCCUCUACAGUGUUACACCAGAGGAAAAGUUGCAGCUCUUUCAAAUUCAGGAAGAUCCCAGCAGGAACACAAUCCAGAUGCCUGAAGAUUCUGAUGUGGACACCCCAAAAACACAUCACCAAUGAUCAACUAUUCUAAUGCAUAUCUGUGGCUGGUAUGGUUUCAGACAACAGUGUCUCCUGUCUUUGAUAGAGUGUUAGUUGUGGGAAGACUGAAGACUCAUUCAAAGGGGCCACUUCCAUUCCCCUAGAAAGUAAAACCGUAGUUAUUAAACAAUAGCCAUACUACAUACAGUCUAUGAGAAAGCUACUUGUUUUGUCCCUGUUUUGUCCUUGUUUUGCCAAGGUGAAACAUCACAGGUCUAGAAAUGUUAUGUUGAAUGACUUACAAAAGAAACCCCACAAAUUGCUCAUUUACGGACAGGCCUGCUUUGUAACAGCAAGAAACCUCAACGUAUCCUUAUCAAUGACUGUUUUGGUCACCUUUUAAGGGAACGAUUAUGGUGAGACACAACAUUACUUAUGGGAGUACUUAAUGUGACCUUAUCUGAUUGUCGUUUUAGACUCCUUUAUGACAAAUCUCUGAACAAGGAAUUCCCAAUUUCAGAUUGGACCAGAUCGAGUUUGGGGGGACUGGGACUAAGGGUGUGUAUCUGACGGUUCUUUGAAGUGAGUCAGAGAGCAUGACAAACCCAAAGUCCUGUACUGCAUUAGCAAUACUGUCCUGUCAAUUAAUGAUGGAUGGAUCACUUUAUUACUGUGAGAAAUUAGGUUAAGUAUCUGGGUAAGGCCAGGGGAGAUUUUUUUCUGGUUGAUUUGCCUUUAUUAAACCCCACCCUACCCACAUAGCAUGGAGCAGUUAGGUCAUGAUUGUGGAGAAAAGUUCAGAUCCACCACCCCUCCAAAACUAUCCCACGGUCUAAUUGUAGAUUUCUCCUCCUGAAAAGGAUGACUUCUUCAAAUGCUUCUGGUAAGAAAAUGUUAGUCAUAAAAAGUGUCAGUCAUAAAAACAUAGUCAUAAAAAAAUAAGCAAGCUAAAAUUACUAGCAGUUUAAGUCACAUUAAACACACAUCUAGUAGUUUCUGGUGGUAGUUACAGGCACCUUCCAACCCAGAAACUAGUCUUGAUUCUUGACCGUAUGUUUUGGGGAUUCUACUUCAAAUUAUUUGAGCUAUUACUCUUUCUUUCUUUCUUUCUUUCUUUCUUUCUUUCUUUCUUUCUUUCUUUCUUUCUUUCUUUCUUUCUUUCUUUCUUUCUUUCUUUCUUUCUUUCUUUCUUUCUUUCUUUCUUUCUUUCUUUCUUUCUCUCUCUCUCUCUCUCUCUCUCUCACUCUCACUCUUUCAUUCCCCCUUCUCUUUCUGUGAGUAAAUCAAUAGGCUGUCAUCCUGUUAACACUACCCCCCUCAGGUUUGGGGGGGAGGCCGGAGGAAGAGGCUACAUAUGGACCUUGUUACUGUCCCAUGGGCUUGACGCACACAACACGGGGGAGGAUGGGAAGACACCGCCAAUGAAGAGCCAUAUCAGACCACUGCUCAACAGAGUAGGCCUCCACCUCAACAUUAGCACCCUCAAAUCAACACGAUAGAGAGACUCAACUCUCCACAAGCCCCAGAUCAUUAACUUGUCCCUUCCUGUGAAUCAUGAAUGGAGGAUGUCAUGAAUCAUGGCAACAUUUAAUGUCCUACUGCUAUUGCCCAUAAGUAAGGCCAUGAGUUUUUCCUGACCACAUCACCUGACCAGGAAACCCAGUCUUGUUAACCAGAUCACCUCACCAGUAAACUCAGUCUGGUAAACCAUUUUUCUUUACCAAGUCACCUGACCACCCACCCAUUGGUUGAAUCAACACUGUUUCCACGUGAUUUCAAUGAAAUUAAGUUGAACCAACGUGGAAUAGACAUUGAAUUGACAUCUGUGCCUAGUAGGCAGUAAAUUCAGCCUGGUAAACCCUUUUCCUUACCACAUCACCUGACCAGGAAACUCAGCCUGGUAAAACCCUUUUCCUGACCACAUCACCUGACCAGUAAACUCAGUUUGGUAAAACCUUUUCCUGACCACAUCACCUGACCAGUAAACUCAGUUUGGUAAAACCUUUUCCUGACCACAUCACCUGACCAGUAAACUCAGCCUGGUAAAACCCUUUUCCUGACCACAUCACCAGACCAGUAAACUCAGCCUGGUAAAACCCUUUUCCUGACCACAUCACCUGACCAGUAAACUCAGUUUGGUAAAACCUUUUCCUGACCACAUCACCUGACCAGUAAACUCAGUUUGAUAAAACCUUUUCCUGACCACAUCACCUGACCAGUAAACUCAGCCUGGUAAAACCCUUUUCCUGACCACAUCACCUGACCAGGAAACUCAGCCUGGUAAAACCCUUUUCCUGACCACAUCACCUGACCAGUAAACUCAGUUUGGUAAAAUCUUUUCCUGACCACAUCACCUGACCAGUAAACUCAGUUUGGUAAAACCUUUCCCUGACCACAUCACCUGACCAGUAAACUCAGUUUGGUAAAACCUUUCCCUGACCACAUCACCUGACCAGUAAACUCAGUUUGGUAAAACCUUUCCCUGACCACAUCACCUGACCAGUAAACUCAGUUUGGUAAAACCUUUUCCUGACCACAUCACCUGACCAGGAAACUCAGUUUGGUAAAACCUUUUCCUGACCACAUCACCUGACCAGGAAACUCAGUUUGGUAAAACCUUUUCCUGACCACAUCACCUGAACAGUAAACUCAGUUUGGUAAAACCUUUUCCUGACCACAUCACCUGAACAGUAAACUCAGUUUGGUAAAACCUUUUCCUGACCACAUCACCUGAACAGUAAACUCAGUUUGGUAAAACCUUUCCCUGACCACAUCACCUGACCAGUAAACUCAGUUUGGUAAAACCUUUUCCUGACCACAUCACCUGACCAGUAAACUCAGUUUGGUAAAACCUUUUCCUGGCCACAUCACCUGACCAGUAAACUCAGUUUGGUAAAUCCUUUUACUGGUCAGGUAACAUGGUCAGUGACAACUCCAUGAGUUAUAGAUCAGCAUUAAGCAUUUGGAGAAAACAAUCUGACUAAAUGUGUUUAAUUUUGGUGGGAUGGAGUGUGGUAGUGUGGUAAACCUUGAAAGAAAUGUUCCACUUUAUGACUAGAGCGUAACAAAGCAACGAUGUAAUUUACAAACCUGAAACCUCCAUCUGUAUUUAACAUCAUCACUAGAUCUCGUGACAGAGCAUGACUCACCUCAAAUGGUGUAAGCUAAUGGACUGAUGUGUAAAUGUCAAGCUAAACAGUCCAUAUUAUGUCCUCAAUAAAUAAAAUAAAAGGAAACAUAAGUUAA